GAAAAGCAAGCUGAGAAACUCUGAACGCAACUGUUUCUCCGUCAGCCCCUGCACUGUGCCUCGGCCACAUAGGGGAUGAAGUCCUUUUCUGGGCCCUGGGUGCAGGCCCUGGGCUGAGCCCUCACACACUGAGCUCUCACAGGAGUUCCCUGAGCCAGGGGUGCGAGAGAGCAGAAACUGGGCCAGGCUGCCCACAUGCAAGCCCCGGUUCUGACACGCAGGAGCUGGUGUCCAUGGGCGAGUCACACAGCACCUCAAUGCCUCGAUUUCCUCUCUGCAAGUGGAAGUAACAAGAGAGAGGUGGUGAACAGACACCAGGCACUCAGCCCUGAGCAUGUGGAAGCACCUCAGGACAGUGGCUAUUUCGGGCAUUGCUCCUGCUUAACUUCAGAUGAGGGAACUGAGGCUUGGGCGGCGGGAGUCCCUCGGCCAGUGGUGACAGAAGCAGGACAGGGUCCCAGUGAUCUGACUCCUCCUGCCACCUGGGCCCUUAGCUCCUCUGCUGAGCUCAGCUGCCACCUCCCCCUGGGAGCCUUCCUGCAUUGCCCACAUCUCUGCAGGACCACGUCUUCUCUCACACAGCUCUGGCUCCUCCUGUUGUCAUCCACUUCUGUCACGGGGCUUGUCCUCAAGGCUCAGGGCUCAGGGCAGGGCCUGGCCCAGAAGAGGACUCUCUUGAGAGAUUACUGAGCAAUGCCAGAGGUCCCCCACCCCACUGACCUGCAGCUCUCCUCCGAGGACAUAGUACCAGUCUAGGUUGAGGGGACCCCUGGCCUGAUGGGUGUAAGGCCCCCCACUGUGGCGACCUUCUGGGCAGCUGGGAGUGGCAGGGGGACCCAUGGGUCCUUAGGCCAGCAGGACUGGGCCUUGAGGGUUGCGUGCUGCCUCUCCUCUCCUUCUCAGUUCCAUGAGGUCAGCUGUUCUUGUCAUGUCAUGGGGGAGAGAGUGUGCCCCAGGACACGUGGGAAAGAGGGCUCCCAAUAUUUCCAGCUGAAACUCAGGACACGGAGCAGGACUUUGUCCAAAAGGGUAUUUCCCAUGGCCUUGUGUGUAACGGCCCUGCCUUGGAAAAGAGCCUGUGUCCAGCUGUAGCACAGUGAGCUAGGGCAGGGUCUCUAGGGGGCAUCAGUAAUAUCAACCCACUAAAACGUUAGGCUCAGUGCAAAUGUUUCAUAGAGGAGAAGCACUAAUGACAUCUUCCUUUUUUUCAGCUGAGCCCAAAUUAUGCAGCUAGUGCAGCUGAGAUGGCAGGAGUCCAUGAGCACAGGGACCCUGCUCGGACACAGGGCCGGCUAGCCAGCUUCUCCAUGCGUUAGUGCCCUCUGCUGUAAUGUGGGCACAAUAGCACCAGAGCACCUACGCAGGGUAGAACACAUGGAAACUGCUUAUGCUCUUCUUGUGUGAUGUUUGUCUCUGCAGCAGCUCUACACUCAGUACCUACCUCUUGGACACCUGCCCCCCACUAGCAGCCCUGCCUGGCAAGGUAGCAGGGGUGGCAGUGCCUGUUAGGGUCAGGGGAGCAGGAGGAGGGCCGGCUGAAACCCAGGCGCACUGGGCCAUGCUCGCCGCCAGGGCUCUGCUGGCGAGGGGGCCCUGGGCCUCCCGGACCCACCUCGGGCAGGCAGGUGGUCUCUGCAAUGAUGACCAACACUGACAAGGCCCCUCUGGUCCCUCCACUGAGGUCACCACACCAGCUGGAGUGACCACGCCUGCAGUGUGGGACCCGACCUCUCUGUCCCAGUUCUCCUGUGUCAAAGGCCUCAGUAUCCAAGUGACACAAGUUGAGCAUCUGGGUGAAGCCAGUGUUUGUGGACAGGUGAUCUGGAAACCUGCACAUGUUGGCUCUGUGUGUGUGUGUGUGUGUGUGUGUGUGUGUGUGUGUGUGUGUGUGUGUGUGUUCUGUGGGAGGGCACCUGAGCCAUCCUGGAAGGGUGGCAGUGAGGCGACAGCAUGCCGCAGAAGGAGCAGCCCCUGCCAAGAUGGACAGAGUCACUAUCUCAUAGGAUCGUGGCACACUCUCGGGCCAGGACUGCCUGGGGUCUGACUUCCUGUUACUGCAAUAAAGCAGAGGACCGGAGUCCCAGGUGGCCCUCAGCCAUGGCCCAGGUGUCCCCGGCAAGCGGGCACUGAGUCCUGUCUCAGCCCAAGACGCUACAGAUGGCACAGAGUCAAGAUGCAGGGGGAGCUCUGAGCACAGAGCAGGCCAGCAGCAGGGACAUGCUGUCUUCAAGGAAAGAGCUUACUCCAGAGCCUAGGUGUCUAUUUCUCCGGGCCGCAAGAUGAUUUAACAUCAUCUCUUGUCAUUGUCACUGUGUGUGUGGUCUGUGGUACAUCAACAUCCCCAUUUCACAGCAAGAAUCAGAAGU
rnacentral:lncRNA from 1 species